rnacentral:lncRNA from 1 species
UAAACCAAAGUUGUAGAGCGUAGUCUCACCUACGCAUGGAUAUAAAGAACGUCGAAAACGGUGUUUGUAUGAANUAGAGUCAAAAUUAGCCGACGGAGUCUAAACGAAAGUUGUAGAGGGUAGUCUCACCUACGCAUGGAUAUAAAGAACGUCGAAAACGGUGUUCGUAUGAAAAAGGUAUGAAUUUUUGAAGUUUAUUAAAUAAUUAAAAUAUAAAUUUAAUUAAUAAAUCCGAUAUUAUCCGAAAGGGAGUCACCAGACUUAUCCGGGUUAUGCCCAGCAUAAUGUUGUACGCCCAGCGUACAGCGAAGCGUGUCGAACCCUUGCACUCGAGUGCUCCGAUGACGCAUGCAGUGACG